rnacentral:rRNA from 1 species
UACAGAGGGGCUAGCGUUGUUCGGAAUUACUGGGCGUAAAGCGCACGUAGGCGGCUUUGUAAGUUAGAGGUGAAAGCCCAGGGCUUAACCUGGAAUUGCCUUUAAGACUGCAUCGCUAGAAUUGUGGAGAGGUAAGUGGAAUUCCGAGUGUAGAGGUGAAAUUCGUAGAUAUUCGGAAGAACACCAGUGGCGAAGGCGACUCGCUGGACAAGUAUUGACGCUGAGGUGCGAAAGCGUGGGAGCAAACAGG